GCAUUGGUGGUUCAAUGGUAGAAUUCUUGUUUGCCAUGCAGGUGACCCGGGUUUGAUUCCCGGCCAAUGCA